CCUACGGGAGGCAGCAGUGGGGAAUUUUGGACAAUGGGGGCAACCCUGAUCCAGCAAUGCCGCGUGAGUGAAGAAGGCCCUCGGGUUGUAAAGCUCUUUUGUCAGGGAAGAAACGGUCUACUCUAAUACAGUGGGCUAAUGACGGUACCUGAAGAAUAAGCACCGGCUAACUACGUGCCAGCAGCCGCGGUAAUACGUAGGGUGCAAGCGUUAAUCGGAAUUACUGGGCGUAAAGCGUGCGCAGGCGGUUUUAUAAGACAGAGGUGAAAUCCCCGGGCCAACCUGGGAACUGCCUUUGUGACUGUAAGGCUAGAGUGUGUCAGAGGGGGGUAGAAUUCCACGUGUAGCAGUGAAAUGCGUAGAUAUGUGGAGGAAUACCGAUGGCGAAGGCAGCCCCCUGGGAUAACACUGACGCUCAUGCACGAAAGCGUGGGGAGCAAACAGGAUUAGAUACCCUGGUAGUCCACGCCCUAAACGAUGUCUACUAGUUGUCGGGACUUAAUUGUCUUGGUAACGCAGCUAACGCGUGAAGUAGACCGCCGUGGGAGGUACGGUCGCGAGAAUUAAACUACGAAAGGAAAGUUAGACGGACGUGAGACGUAGCCGAACGGACGACGACGAGGGAGGUAGG
rnacentral:rRNA from 1 species